UACGAAGGGGGCUAGCGUUGCUCGGAAUUACUGGGCGUAAAGCGUGCGCAGGCGGUUCGUUGUGUCGGUGGUGAAAUCCCCGGGCUUAACCUGGGAAUGGCCAUGGAAACUGGCGAACUGGAGUGUGGCAGAGGGGGGUGGAAUUCCGCGUGUAGCAGUGAAAUGCGUAGAGAUGCGGAGGAACACCGAUGGCGAAGGCAGCCCCCUGGGCUAGCACUGACGCCUCAGGCACGAAAGCGUGGGAGCAAACAGG
rnacentral:rRNA from 1 species